rnacentral:rRNA from 1 species
CAGUCGCCGCGGUAAUACAGAGGCCUCAAGCGUUGUUCGGAUUCAUUGGGCGUAAAGGGAGCGUAGGCGGUCGGGUAAGUUGGAUGUGAAAUCCUGGGGCUCAACCUCAGAACUGCAUUCAAUACUGCUUGGCUAGAGUAUUGGAGAGGUGAGUGGAAUUCACGGUGUAGCAGUGAAAUGCGUAGAUAUCGUGAGGAAGACCAGCGGCGAAGGCGGCUCACCGGACAAUUACUGACGCUGAUGCUCGAAGGCCAGGGGAGCAAACGGGAUUAGAGACCCCCGUAGUCCCUGUCUCUUAUAC